GAAGGUCUGGCCCUUCGGAGCCGCCCUGCGGGGGGAGGCUUCAAACCACCUCAAGCUGCGUUGGCUGAAGACCUUGUGAACAUGAACGGAGGCUGGGCUCGGUGAGCUUGGGU
rfam:Saccharothrix sp. ALI-22-I Contig19, whole genome shotgun sequence.